rnacentral:rRNA from 1 species
AGUGAACGCUGGCGGUAGGCCUAACACAUGCAAGUCGAACGGCAGCACAGUAAGAGCUUGCUCUUACGGGUGGCGAGUGGCGGACGGGGGAGGAAUACAUCGGAAUCUACUUUUUCGUGGGGGAUAACGUAGGGAAACUUACGCUAAUACCGCAUACGACCUACGGGUGAAAGCAGGGGAUCUUCGGACCUUGCGCGAUUGAAUGAGCCGGUGUCGGAUUAGCUAGUUGGCGGGGUAAAGGCCCACCAAGGCGACGAUCCGUAGCUGGUCUGAGAGGAUGAUCAGCCACACUGGAACUGAGACACGGUCCAGACUCCUACGGGAGGCAGCAGUGGGGAAUAUUGGACAAAGGGCGCAAGCCUGAUCCAGCCAUACCGCGUGGGUGAAGAAGGCCUUCGGGUUGUAAAGCCCUUUUGUUGGGAAAGAAAAGCAGCAGGUUAAUACCCCGCUGUUCUGACGGUACCCAAAGAAUAAGCACCGGCUAACUUCGUG